rfam:Erinaceus europaeus unplaced genomic scaffold scaffold00036, whole genome shotgun sequence
UGGUGAUCACCACAGAUUUGCCCGUCUGUGAGAUUGAUCCGUUUUGAGGUAAGAAAGAGCGACACAAUUAUGGGACAAGCAUUGAGUAAACAUGAUUUGUUGCUUAAGGGCCUCAAAGAGUCCCUCAAGACACAAGGAGUAAGGGUUAAGAAAAAGGAUCUCAAGAAGUUUUUUGAUUUUGUGAGUGAUAUUUGUCUGU